UCAUAUCAUGUUGAAACACCAGUUCUCAUAUGAUCACCAAAGUUAAGCAAUGUCAAGCCUGAUCAGUACCUUAAUGGGAAACCAUUUGGGAAUACCAGGUGCUGUA